UACGUAGGGCGCAAGCGUUGUCCGGAAUUAUUGGGCGUAAAGAGCUCGUAGGCGGUUUGUCGCGUCUGUCGUGAAAGCCCACGGCUUAACCGUGGGUCUGCGGUGGAUACGGGCAGACUAGAGGCAGGUAGGGGAGUGUGGAAUUCCUGGUGUAGCGGUGAAAUGCGCAGAUAUCAGGAGGAACACCAACAGCGAAGGCAGCACUCUGGGCCGGUACUGACGCUGAGGAGCGAAAGCAUGGGGAGCGAACAGG
rnacentral:rRNA from 1 species